UGCUACAAGUGGAUCAUAUAACUAAUAUCGGUAUAGAUGAGUAGGUUCAGAAAUUAAAAAAAUAAAUAAAGACAUUUCACAGCUUACACUGCAGAGAUAAUUUGGUCAGGAAACUACUGUUACCACUACUGGGUGCUGCCCUUGCUGAGGGCAGACAUGAACAGGGAGUUCCAGCUUCUCUGUCAUCUCGCCUUCAAUCUCUCUCUCAAUCUCUGUCUCUGUCUCUGUCUCUGUCUCUGUCUCCCUAGCUUCAGUGCUUUAGGAAAAACAAUGUACUUGACUGAUGCUUCUUCUGACGCUUUUACCUUAACUAUUAGUGGCUGAUGAGAAGAAAAAUUCCUCUCAUUAUGAUCCUACAGGUAUGAUGCAACAAAGCAUCACACUAACAUUAUGAAACUUGGAAAGCUACCCCAAAUACCAAGAAUUGCCUUUUAUCACUUGAUGUUGUGAUACGAGUAGAACCUCAGGAAUCCCUAUCGUCCAUUCUUCUGUGUCCACAAGCUCAGUGCAUGACAGAAAUCUUAACUCCUCUCUCACCACCAGAAUUAGUCAUCUCAGAGAGUCAGGUAACUGCAUAUCUUGCGUAGGACUCAGUCACGAGGAUCUUCAAAUACACAGGAGGCAGGCUGACCUUCCAACAAUAGUGGAAGCAUGUUGAUUCAUAAUGAGAGCACUUCAUUCAUAAUGAAAGUAUAAAACUGUAUGUCAGCAAAAAGUGACUGACAAGAAGAAAAGAGUUAAACCUGAGAGACCUAAUGCAUAAGAGAAUGUUGGAGAGAUUUUAUUUUCCUUUGUCACAGAUGGGAGAAAUUUGAAGAGGACUAAUGGUUUAGAGAACAUUCCUAUAUACUAUAAAAUCUGGAGACCUGCCCAUUAGAAUCUGUAUCUGUGCCCAUAAAAGAUCUACAUCUUGAAAUCAAA